AUUCCUUGAAUUUCUAGGAUUUAACUGAAUAUUGCAGGUACAUUUUUUGUAUUGUUUUUAUCUUAGAAGUUUCACUGACAAAGUCUAAUAAAUCAAAACAGCAAAGAUUAUUAUGUGAUAAUGAAUAAAACAUACAGUGCAAAAAGGAUUGAUUUGAUCCUUCUUUCUGACCAUUUGACAGUUUAUUUAAAGCAAUAAAGCUGCAGCGACGAGGCGUUCAUCUUUUCCAUAUCGCUCAGGCUCUCUCUGCUCAAGUCCACUGGCUGAGAGAGAUUCCAAGAUGGCGGCACACCUGUCAUGGAGGUGGAUUGUCGUGAUUAUGUAUGGAGAUCACCUCAAGGCCUCUGUGAGCCACGGAGAGCAUGCACACCUCCAGUUGCGAGUUCAAUGCCGGUCAAAAGCCUGUCGUUUUAAAACCACUGACUGCCCCCUCCGAAAAGAAAGGGUAAACCUUAGCAGUGUCUCCAUUCUCUCUCUCUCUCUCUCGCUUCCUUUCUCUUUCUCUCCAUUGCCCUCUCUCUCUGUCUCACUCUCUCUCGCCCCCUCUCUCACAUCAGAGGCGCUGAAAUGCACCCCAGGGCCAAAUCGCACAGAACAACCCCUCUGAGCCAGAGAAAAAAGCUGGAAUCCGUUUGCCCUGAUAUUUCACCAGCACCAGCCAGGAGCGAGUAGAGAGGGGAAAGACAGAGAGAGAGAGAGAGAGAGAGAGAGAGAGAGUGAGACUGGGGCUAGAGAAAAAGGGAUAGAUGGGAAAACGGCAGACCAGGGCUGUAUUUAUUGGGGGUGUGAGUGCCGCGCUGUAGGCUGUGGGAUGGUCGGGGAGAGUGCAAGGUGUUGCUGUUAGGUGUGGUUGAGGUUUUACAGAAAGGAAGAGCAUGCAUAGAUAGGAUGGUGGAGAAGGAGGAGGAGAAAAAAAAAAGAGGGAGAGAUGGAAGGAUUGGUCAUGCGCAAGACCGCAGGCCGUUGGAGGCAGCUUAGAAAUCUCUUACAUCUGGAAGAGCCAUAAUUCAUGGGAUUUGGCCUAACAGCCAUGACAGGCAUUGGGGCGGCCAGCAACAACUGUCUCCUGUGUUAGCAACACUGUAUGUGUGUGUGUUAGCUGUGUGUGAGCGAGAAAGACAAAGAGUGAGACACAAAGAUAGACAGUGUGUGUGUCUGUAAGUGUGUGUGUGUGUGUGUGUGUGUGUAUGCUUGUAACUUUUUAUCUAUGCAGAGCUUGUGAAGAUCAGGCUCACCUGAACAAAGUUUGCUUAACUUUUUAUUUUAUGGAGUUUUUGACGUUCACCAGACUUUGAACACUUCCUUAUUAAACAUUCAAUCUGAGUUCAUGUACUUAAGAAGGCCUGCUAUAUUAAUGCUACUUAUUAGCAUACCUCUUACCACUACAUUCAGGAGGCAAAUAUUAUGCUUUACACUCUAAAACAUACGGUAUAUUUCACAGUUAAAGUAAAUUUUAAAUGUUGUAUUUGAAUUUUUAAAAUAGAAAUAUAUAUAUUUUUUAAAACUGCAUAAAACAAAGCCUGCUAAUGUUCAUGAACGACUUAGAAAAAAUGAAUAAAAAAUAUUUUGGAUUCAUAAAUAAAUGUAAUUUCAAAUUCUGCAGAUUGUGUGCUUUAAUGUUCGUGUGUGUUUUGAUUUAAACUCAAUUGUGAAUGUCUUUGUGUCUUGUAGUUGGGGACUAUUUUCACAUUGUGUUGUCGCUGUUAUGAGUGUUCCCGAUGCUUCACCACAUUUUAAACAGACUGUCAUUAAAUUCACAAAACAAAACAACGCACACACACUCACACUCACAGGACAAUUGAAGAGACAUGUUGUGUUUGUUUAAGAGGUAUCGUGUAUUUCGGAUUACCUACAUACAAUUAUAUAUAUAUAUAUAUAUGUAUAUACCUCUGUUAACAAAUGUUUGCAAGCUUGGGUGUAUGAGUAUGCACACAUACAUUUAUACAAGAGACACAAACAGACUUGCGGCGGAGGAAGCAGUGGCGUCCAUGUGUUUCAUGGCGUGCCAGAGGCUCCCUGUGUCGGCCCUAAAUAUUACACACAGACAGUAGCUAUCACUUCCAAGCCUGAAAUCCCACAUUCCACAUUCCUGAUUCCAGCGGCUCGCCUGCUAAGCUGGGCACCACAUGAAGAGCCAUUGUUAGAGAGAGAGGGGUCAUGUAUCUCUCUCCGUCUGUCCGUCUGUCUGUCUGUCUGUCUCUCAGCCCUCCUUCUCCCCGCCCAAAUAUCUCUCACUGUCAUAUUCCCUCUGUUUGUGGCUCUCUUGCUCCGUCUAUCUUUCCCUUUCUCCCUCUGCCGGUUUAUCUUUAUCUCUCUUACUUAUUCCUCCUCUCCUCCGACGCGCUUUGUCGCCCACUCUCCCACUCACUUCUUUUUUUUCAGUCUUGCAUUUGUUUGUUUUCUAUACCUCGCUCAACCUCCUGUCUCCUACAGAUGCAUUUUUUUCGUGGCUUUCCUACUCUCUAUAAGACUCUCUCUCUCUCUCUCUCCCUCCCUCCCUCUCUCUCUCCCUCUCAAUGUGCUGUCUCCCUCUCUCCCUGUGUAUCUGCAGAUAUUCAUGUAGAGAUUUUCUCACAUGUUAGAUAUAGAUUUACGACCCCAGCCAGAUCCCUGUGGCCACUAAAUUUGAUACCAUCCACUAAGCCACAUUGUUUUUUGUGUGUUUGGGCUUGUCUGUUGUGUGUGUGUGUGUGUGUGUGUGUGUGUGUGUGUGUGUGUGUGUGUGUGUGUGUUCAUGCAUUACAAGGUGGAGGCGGGUGACUUUUAAAGGGUUAGCUUGGGUACGGUGGGCGCAGAGGAGGAAUUUACAGUUUAUUGAAGCACAGAAGCCAGGUGUGUAUGUUUGUGCAUAUGUGUGCAUGUACGUGUGUGUGUGUGUGUGUUCAUGUGUGUGCGUGCGUGUGAAAUAGAGAGAGAGUGCCUGUGGGUGCCAGGUGACCAGGCUAACCUCUUGGCUGGUUUUUUUGGAUUUAGCCUUUGGAUAGCGGUGAAAAAUAAAAAUGGAAUGCUUUUUCAAUUACAGAUCAGAAGGCGAGUGAACAAAGGCAGGAGUAAAAGAAAAGAUGAUAUUGGGAUCUAACUUAUCAAGGGUUGUCUGACGAAUGCACAGCUCAAAUCUUCGACUUUUGGGACAUUUUGUACUUGAACAUUCGGAGAACUCAGCUGAGUCCCAUAAUCCUGUCCAAUAGUUCAAAUAAUUCAUGUAAUGCUUCAAAUUAUUGUACUUAAAGACAUAAAGUAUCGGUGUCAUUAAAAAAAAAAAAAAAAAAAGGACGUAAAGAAAGCUAUGCUUCAAAUCCCAUUAUUGAGCUGUGUUACAUUAACUGGAGAGCAGCAACAUGUGUACAACAGGUAAGCACAAAAAUAGAACAUGGGUAGAAUAAAAGAUUAAGAAGCAGACAAACACCUGUGGAAGACAGUCACUGUUGUUGUGUUCCUUUUUGUGUGCAUAUUAUUAACUCUGACAGUAGUCAGUUUAAAGGUACUCAUCCUCUGCCAUGCAUAUUUUAUCAGCUGUAGGUGGUAUUUGUUGUGUUUUCAUGUCUUGUUUGUUUGAAUCCAUUCCACAAGUUGUUACGGGGUGGGGCAUUUGGAAAUGGCAUCGUCGAGCACCGAGGUUUGUAAUAUUGUUGUUUGUCUGAGAGAUGUGAGAUGCCAUUCGUCUUUUGAUGUUUGGCUAGGAGGAAAUAUCUUUAAAAAAAAAAAAAAAAAAGAAGAA